rfam:Micromonospora carbonacea strain JXNT-1 contig2, whole genome shotgun sequence.
CCGGUUCCGGUUCACGCCCGAUCCCGACACGCGACGCGUCGGGGCCGCACGGGCGACCCGGCGACC